GACGAACGCUGGCGGCGUGCUUAAUACAUGCAAGUCGAGCGAGGUUACUGCGACAGAUCCCUUCGGGGUGAAGUUGCUUUAGCCUAGCGGCGGACGGGUGAGUAACGCGUGGGUAACCUACCCUAAAGUUCGGGAUAACAGCGGGAAACCGCUGCUAAUACCGGAUGCCUUUACCAUGUGGCAUCACAGGGUAAAGAAAGGUAACGCUUUAGGAUGGGCCCGCGUCCCAUUAGCUAGUUGGUGAGGUAACAGCUCACCAAGGCGACGAUGGGUAGCCGGCCUGAGAGGGUGGACGGCCACACUGGGACUGAGACACGGCCCAGACUCCUACGGGAGGCAGCAGUAGGGAAUAUUGCGCAAUGGACGGAGGUCUGACGCAGCGACGCCGCGUGAGCGAUGAAGGCCUUCGGGUCGUAAAGCUCUGUCCUUGGGGAAGAAGGUCUUCGGACUUGACGGUACCCAAGAAGAAAGCCCCGGCUAACUACGUGCCAGCAGCCGCGGUAAUACGUAGGGGGCGAGCGUUGUCCGGAAUUACUGGGCGUAAAGGGUGCGUAGGCGGCCCUUUAAGUCAGAUGUGAAAGCCCGCAGCUUAACUGCGGGAUUGCAUUUGAAACUGGAGGGCUUGAGUGUCGGAGAGGGUAGUGGAAUUCCCAGUGUAGCGGUGAAAUGCGUAGAUAUUGGGAGGAACACCAGUGGCGAAGGCGACUGCCUGGACGAUAACUGACGCUGAGGCACGAAAGCUAGGGGAGCAAACAGG
rnacentral:rRNA from 1 species